CCACUACACCUCAGCCUGGGUGACAAAGUAAAACCCUAUCCUCCCCCCAAAAAACAAAAAAACCCUACGCCUGUAAGGGUGCUGUUUCUUAUACCCUUUUCUACCCCAGCAAGAAUUCAGUGCGUCAGGAGAAGCAAAUCCCAAAUGAGGUAAGUGGAUUUUCGAUGUGGGCCUGGGUCAGGGCGGACAUGGGCUCUGAGGUUGUCCCUGUAGCUGUCUGAGCAGAUAAGUUAUUUAGAGCUCUUGUUAGUGUGGGUUUUAUUAACAAAGGCAGAGUUUGGGGAGGUGAGCCAGAACCGUGCAGCAGCGAGAAGCGUUUUGCAAGUCAGUAUUUAUUUCUUUAGUGCAGUUAGAACUUAAAUACGGCCAAAACAUAUUCUUAUUUUAAUUUACACAAACAAAUAUGUUCCCAGGCUGACACCUCCCGUGCCAAGUUUCCAGGGGAAACAACAUUCUACUGUGAGAUUAUAAACCACUAGAGAAAAGACGAGAAUGGAAAAGCCGCCGAGAAUUAGCUCUACAUGCCCAGAACUGGGCUGCUAAGAGAUGUGAAGCCACGAGACGUUUGGUAAUUUUCUAGAGCAGUGCUAUCCAAGACAGUAGCUAUUAUGCCCCUUGUGGCUACUGAUGUGUAAAUUAGUUAAAAUUAAAUAAAUUUUAAAGUUUACUCCCUA